AGUCUCAGCCAUGGUUGCAUACCUUCCAAGCUCCACCGCCUCUUCUUCCUCGUGGGCAGAUCCCUGAUUUUGUGUAGGACAGCACUUGAAAUGUAUUUGUGUGCUCAACAUUGGUUUCCUCUCUGGAACCUGGGAUCACUUCAGGGGUGGACACGUGGCCCAACCAUGACUGAUGAGACAUGCGGGGAAAUCUGCAGAGGCAACUUCUAGGAAAGGUUGGGCUCUUGCAGCCACCCUGUGACUAUGAGCAUUCUGACCACAAUGCCAGAAGACAAUACGGAAUUACUCAGUACAUGAAGCACCAGGAAGAUGACAACAGAAGAGAGAGGACCCAGACAUUGGAAUCAGCAGGUUCAAAGGAUUCUCCUGCCUCAGCCUCCUGAGUACCUGGGAUUACAGGCAUGCACCACUAUGCCCGGCUAAUUUUUGUAUUUUUUAUAGAGUUGGGGUUUCGCCAUGUUGACCAGGCUGGUUUUGAACUCCUGGCCUCAAGCAAUUCACUGGCCUUGGCAUCCCAAAGUACUGGAAUUACACCUGGCUAAGCCUCUUCUAUUUAAAAAUAGAAAUAAAAGAAAAAAAAAACAGAUCAAAACCAAAAGUUAUAGUGAGAGUGGACAAGCCCUGGACAACAGCAGGCAUGAGGACUUACAGCCCACAUGCUCAGCCACCAGGUGCAAUCUCCAACAUGUGCGGGCUUUGGGAAAACACAAUCGGGCAAGUGAAGU
rnacentral:lncRNA from 1 species